UGGCGUUCCCGGAUUCCACUUUUGGCAGCUGGUCGCUGAUGAUCUCCACCAGCAUCGCGGGGAACUCCACUUUCAGAGCCUGGGACUCUCGGAAGGUAUAGAAGCAAAAUUCCAACAAGUCACUCACCAACUGCAACACAGACAAAGAGAGGACGUGACAUGAAGGCCUGACUUCUGUCCCUGGACCACUCUGUGUUAUAACUCUGUGUAAACUCAAAAGAGCAACGCUGGGAAUCCAACCAGGAAAUCAAGGCUGAUUUUGAGAGAGCGAGUGGAAGCAUCAAGGACAACUUUGUUUCCUUGCCUGUCCCUACUCUGUGACCCAAGGACCUUUCUCAUCCUCCUGGAACUGAAUCGCUCCCAAUUCUACUGAGAAAGCAGCUUGUUUCCAGUCAUGAGCUGGUACCCAGAGCUUCUGUUUACAGACAACUCUGUAUGGACAGCCCUCCAGGAAUAUUCCAGAAGUUUCUCUGGACACUAACUUGGCAUGGAAUGAGUUUUCAGAACCGUCACUCAUUCUCUUCAGAUGAUCUCCUUGAAGACAGGAACUGCCUGUGCCACCAGCAUUCAGGAGAGGCCCCGCCCUGCCAUGUCUGAGCAGCCCUGGUCCCACUGCUCUGCUGAGCUUGAGAGUCUAGAAGGCCUCCUAGAUGUGACCAAGAGAAAAAAGAUCGGCGAGACCCCCCUGAGAAGCGAUAGAAGCGUAAGAUGGCUCCUCCUUUUUGUCUCUCCCUUUUUAAGAGUUAGACAUCCAUCCAUGAACAAAUAGGAGCUGUGGGCACCAGCACUGUAUGCCAAGAGACUUGGGAAGAGUCUUCCCCACCUGUGGAUCCAGCCAAGCAGCGAACUUGCCCCAACCCCUCUCACCAAAGUCAGGGGAAUGCACCUGGAGAGUGCUGAUCUGGGCAGACACCCACAGACAAAAGAGAAAUUGAAUAGGUCCAGUCUUCCCAAGGGGAAAUUCCAGCAUGCGAUCGGACCAACCCCUCCCCACCAAAACGAGUUUGAAUGCAGCGGAGAUGGUAAGAACUUGACCAGCACCCCACACACAACAGUGCACGGGGCUGAACUAUCAUAGGGCGGUGAUGUCCCCUAUGGAGGAGAGGGGGAGAGCAGUAAUGAGUACCUGCCUACCCCAGUGGUGCAGGUAGAGAAGCCCCUUUCCAGCAGUACCAGGAUACUGAGGUAGGACCUCCAGGACUGGGAGGAGGAAGGGGACUUAUAUUCUGCUGCUUCCCUAAAGAGCAUUAAAGGAACAAAGUUCCUGCUUGGGAGCACCAUACCUGGGGAUACUGGGUCCACAGGUACCCCAAGUGCAAAAUCCAUACCUCUCCCCACUCUGGCUCUUGGUGUGAAUUUCCAAGUCUGGAAGCAAGGGCAAGGCCCAAUAGGGACUGCCCUCAGCGAACAGUCCUGGGUCUGGGAGAAACCACUAACUGAAGCUAUAGCGCCACCUUCUGGAAAACGAGAAGCUUCCGGCAGCCAGCCAGGAGUGCUAAGAACCACAGAGGACGUAAACGCUUAGGAAUCCUGCCACAAGAGGGAGCCAUGCAAGAGUAACAGCAGUAGCCAUUCAAAGGCAGAAAACCCCUCUAUGCAACAUCAGCACCAAUGAACAGAAUACUCAUUUGAAGACAACGUGCAAAGAUUUAAGGAGGUACCUGCUACUUGAAAUGAGAAAGCAAUACAAUACUACAACGAAUGUUAUCAAGGAAACAUGUCAUCAAAAAGUGAUAAUCUUCUAACAAACAACCAAGUACAAAGGCAUGCAAUUUUGUGAUCUUGCUGAUGAAGAAUCCAAAAAUCCCAGUUUUGAAGAAACGCAGCUAAAAGAAAACUCCAAUUCAUGAAAAAAUAGGAUCAAUGAAAUAUUUACCAAUAAGAAGAACCAAGGAGAAAUUAUGGCGCUGAAAACUAGUGAAAUCAAAAAUGUAAUAGAGAGCAUGUGAAAUAGAGUAGAGCGAGUGGAACACAGAAUAAGUGAGUUAGAGGGUAGGAAGUGUGCAGUAACCCAGUUACAGGAGAACAAAGAAAGCCUACAUGAUCUAUGUGAUUUCAUCCGAGGAACAAGUAUGAGAAUAAUUGGAAUUCCAGAAGAAGAAGGGGGAGGGUAGAAUAUUAAUAGCCGAGAACAUCCCAAACUUGGGGAGAGAACUAACUGAAUAUCCAAGUUCAAAGCUAAUAGAUCGCCCUAUUAUCUCAAUGCACAAAGACCUUAUCCAAAAUACAUUAUAAUGAAACUGUCGAAAGAAUUCUAAAAGCAGUCAGAAGAUGAUAGCUUAAUGUGGGUUCCUUUGUAGGUUAUCAGUGGUUUUCUCAGCAAAACCCCUAUAAGCCAGGAGAGAGUAGAAUUAGAUAUUCCAAGUGUUGAAAGAAAAAAAAAUUGCCAGCUAAGAAUACUGUCUGGCAAAGUUAUCCUUCAGCUAUGAAGGAGAAACACUUUCCUUAAAAGUGAAGAUAAUUCAUCACUACUAGACCUGCCUCAGAAGAAAUGCUGAAAGGAGUUCUUCAAGCUGAAAUGAACAGAGGCUAAUCAGUGACGAAAACAUAUGAAAGUAUGCAACACACUGAUAAAUAUUAGGAAACUCAGAUUCUGUAAUUGGAUCAUGUGUUGACCACUUAACUAAAGUAUAAAGUUCAAAGGAAAAGAGUACUAAAAAUCGUAGCUUCUAUAAUUUGUUAAUAAGUACACAUAUAAAAACAGGUAAAUAAAAAUGAAAGAAAUAAAAAGGGGAAUGUAAGAGUGAAGCUUUUAUAGUCAGUUGAAAUUAAGUUGCUAUCAGCUUGAAAUGUACUGUUUUAUUUAUGGGCUGUCUUAUGUCAGACUCAUGAUAACCAUAAAGCAAACACCUGGAGUACAUGCGCAGAAGGUAAAAAAAGAAACAAGGCAUACCACUAUGGAAAAUCAGCCAUUUACAAAGAUAGGCUGAAAGAGAAGGAAAACGACCAGAAAGCAAUAAGAUGGCAUUAGUAAGUUCUUACGUAUCAAUAGUAACUCUAACGGUUAAUGGACUGAAUUUACCAAUCAAAAGUCAAAGAGUAGCAAAUAAAAUCCAAUGAAAGAGGAGACAUUAUAAGAGACUACAAACAAUGAGAUGCUAACAAAUUGGAUAACCUAGGAUAUAUAGAAGAAUUCUUAGAAAUAAAAGAUCUGAACAGACCACUAAUGAGUAAGGAGACUGAAUCGGUAAUGAAAAAACUCCCAACACAGAAAACCCCAGGACCAGAUGGCUUCACUGGUGAAUUCUACCAAACAUUUAAAGGAGAAUUAACGUCAGUCCUUCUCAAACUCUUUCAAAAACCUGAAGAGGGAACAUGUCCAAACUCAUCAUAUGAGGCCAGCAUUACUCUAAUACUAAAGCCAGACAAAGCACAAGAAAAAAAAAAAAAAAAAAACAGGCCAAGAUACCUGAUGGAUAAAGAUACAGAAAUGCUCAACAAAAUAGUAGCAAACCAUUCAACACUUCAUUAAAAGGAUUAUACAUCAUGACCACACAGGAUUUAUCUUCGAGAUGGAAGGAUUUUUUAAAAUAUGUAAAUCAGUAAAUGUGAUAAACAGUAAUAGAUAAAAACCACAUAAUCAUCUUAAUAGAUAACAGAAAAAGCAUUUGACAAAAUACAACAUCCUUUCAUGAUAAAAACAAAUUUGGAUAUGAAAGGAAUAUACCUCAACACAAUAAAGGCCAUAGAUGACAAACCCACAGCUAACAUUUUACUCAAUGGUGAAAAAUUGCAAGUUUCCUCAAAGAUCAGGAACAAAGCAAGAGUGUUCACUCUCAUCACUCCUAUUCCACAUAGUACUAGAAGUCCGAGCUAAAGCAAUUAGGAAAGACAAAAAUAAAUAAAAGGCAUCCAAAUUGGAAAGGAAACAAAAUUGUCAUUAUUUACACAUGAUAUUAUGUAUAGAAAAUCCGAAAAACUCAACCCCCAAAUUAUUGGGUUAAUCAAUGAAUCAGUAAGUUCUAGGAUUAAAAUCAACAUACAGAAAUGUUACAUUUCUGUAUACUAACAACUAAACAUCAAAAAAAAAAAAAAAAAAGAAA